UCCCUGUUACCAGGGCAGUCUAGCUAGAAAAAUACAACUAACUACAAGGGUUGCGCUCGUUGAUGGACUUAACCAAACAUCUCACGACACGAGCUGACGACGGCCAUGCAUCACCUGUCACUGUGUUCCAAAAGGCACACUCUGCUUUCGCAGUGCUUCACAGGAUGUCAAGCCUGGGUAAGGUUCUUCGCUUACCAUCGAAUUAAACAACACGCUCCACCGCUUGUGCGGGUCCCCGUCAAUUCCUUUAUGUUUUAAGCUUGCGCUCGUACUCCACAGGCGGGAUGCUUAACGCGUUAGCUUCGCUACUAGAAGGGUCGAUACUUCUAACAGCUAGCAUCCAUAGUUUACGGCGUGGACUAC
rnacentral:misc_RNA from 1 species